UGAUAUUAGUAGCAAGCUUAUAAGAUUUAUGCAUAAGUAGACAUAAAAUACUAAACUUUUGUGUUAAAUGCUCUUCUAUUUAUCUUAUAGUUAUGUUGCAGAAUAGGAUAAUCCAGUUGGGACAGGAUACAGUUUUGUGGAGGAUGAAGAGUUAUUGGUGAAAAUAGAUGAAGAAGCUGCUAGGGACUUAACUACAUUGUUGAUUAAAUUAUUUAACAGAUAUGUCGUACUGCAGGUUUAGUACGUCCUAUGACAAAUACUCACAUCAUCACAUGACCAGAGAGAUCUGGGACAACGUCGACACCAACGAUUAGUUUCAAGAAAGGGAAAAUUAAAGGAGAAGCAGAAGAUAGAUUUUUUUAUCUGAACCCAAAUAAAGAUAAAGUGAAGCGGAAGAACUGAAUCGGCGAUGCAGAGAUAUGCAGGUAAUGCAUUCUGAACUAUUUUCCGUAGUUUUUUUGGGGGUCUUAACUCUUCGCUUAGGGUUUUUUUUCUUGCAUCUUUGGAUGAUUAAAUUUGUUUUGGAGUUUGUGAUAUUAGGGCAUUGAGAUGAAUGAUUACUUGAUGUUGCAUUACUUAGUUUUUACUUAGUUAUGGUGGUGGUCUGGGUUAAUCGGUUGUUCGUGGGUUAGUUUGCGGGUCACACCGGUCACGACUCAUUAGAGCUAACGGGUCAAGUAAAAUUGGAAGUGAGUUUAAAGUAUUUACUUGCAUACUCAC
rnacentral:lncRNA from 1 species